GAUGAAGAACGCAGCGAAAUGCGAUAAGUAAUGUGAAUUGCAGAAUUCCGUGAAUCAUCGAAUCUUUGAACGCACAUUGCGCCCCCUGGCAUUCCGGGGGGCAUGCCUGUCCGAGCGUCAUUUCUGCCCUCCAGCCCGGCUGGGUGUUGGGCGCUGUCCCCCCGGGGACACGCCCCAGAGGCAGUGGCGGCGCCGCGUCGGGUCCUCGAGCGUAUGGGGCUUUGUCACCCGCUCGGGACGGACUCGUCGGCGCUGGUCUUCCUCCAGGCGACCCUUCGGGGCUCGUCUUCCUUCGGUUGACCUCGGAUCAGGUAGGGUUACCCGCUGAACUUAAGCAUAUCAAUAAGCGGAGGA
rnacentral:misc_RNA from 1 species